UACGUAGGGUGCGAGCGUUAAUCGGAAUUACUGGGCGUAAAGUGUGCGCAGGCGGCCAUGCAAGUCGAGUGUGAAAGCCCCGGGCUUAACUUGGGAAUUGCGCUCGAAACUACGUGGCUGGAGUGUGGCAGAGGAAGGUGGAAUUCCACGUGUAGCGGUGAAAUGCGUAGAGAUGUGGAGGAACACCAAUGGCGAGGGCAGCCUUCUGGGCCAACACUGACGCUCAUGCACGAAAGCGUGGGGAGCAAACAGG
rnacentral:rRNA from 1 species